CAAGAAUACUUCAGGGAAUCCAUGAUACUCUAGCUUGAAAGAGAAAUCACCUGUACCAGGAUCAUCGCUGCUUUUCCAGGAACUCAAGUACCUGUCUAGACCCGUGUUCAGAUCCCAGCCUAACUUCAUGUCAGGUUUCCUGAAUCUAGCAACUGCAUAACUGGGUUUCGCGCAUUGGUUUGGUUGGAUGACCAUACGACUUUCCCAGCUAGAUCAAAUAGAGCAAUGCUUUGAUUGAAGAUUUUGAAGGUUCCAGAGGAGUUUGAAAGAGGGUUGUCUCUGUUAGCAACCCACACAUAAGUUCUUGGUAUGUUCUUGUACCAUAUCCCCACAUACCAGUUUCUUGAAUUGCCAGGAGUGAAGAAUCCAAGCUCAAAGCCCUGGCUUGUGGAGAUGAGAGUUUGGCCAUUUAUGAGAGAUUGUGUUGCUGUUAAGGUGUCUAAAGAUGAGGCAAAUUUUGAGGAGAAGAGAGAAAGGAAAGUGAUGAAGAAGAACAGAGUGGUUGUGCCAUAAUGGUGCCUCAUUGUUUUAGAUUUUAUGCUUCACUAAUUUGGUCUCUCUCUGUGUCUCUAGUGUGUGUUUACAGGCAUUUUGCUUUCUUCAUCUCGAAGAUACUUGGUGAUGGUUGCUAGGAAGAGAAGAAAAAGGAGAAAUUGUCUUGUUCUUGAAA